AACACAGACACAAACACACUCACUCCCGCUCUCAAGAUCAAGUUCAAGUUCAAACCACUCUGCCGCCCUUGGGCGCUGUGGGCUGCUCCGCCACGAGGGUGCCCGCACACCUCAUGGCUGUUUCCAGACUUUUGAUCCCUGCACUCCUUCCUGUGUCCUGUGGUUCUCUACACUCUUGAUGUUUACCAGGAAACAUUGAGGACAACAGAAGAGGAGUUGGUUAAGUAGGAAACAAGGCCACAAACAGCACUGCGGCAGCACCGUCCCUGCAGCCUUCCAGGGUCUCCUGGAGCCUUUGUUACCAGUGUGUGUUGAUGUGACAAGCUCCAGUGACAAAGUGGAAGGCAGGAAGGGUGUGGCCAGGCAUGGCUCAGGAUGCUGUGUGGCUGCCGGCCACAUCUGUUGCUGCUGCAGUGAGGGCCUGAGGCUGGUGCUGUGCUCAGCGCUCACUCUCUCCUCACUGCCUCUGUCUCCAGGACUCCCCAGUGCAUUGCU